GACGAACGCUGGCGGCGUGCCUAAUACAUGCAAGUAGAACGCUGAAGAGAGGAGUUUGUUCUUUUCGGAUGAGUUGCGAACGGGUGAGUAACGCGUAGGUAAUCUGCUUUGUAGUGGGGGAUAACUAGUGGAAACGAGCGCUAAUACCGCAUAACAAUGGAUGACACAUGUCGUUUAUUUGAAAGGGGCAAUUGUUCCACUACAACAUGGACUUGCGUUGUAUUAGCUUGUAGGUGAGGUAAUGGCUCACCUAGGCGGCGAUACAUAGCCGACCUGAGAGGGUGGGCGGCCGCACUGGGAGUGUGACACGGCACAGAGUGCUUCGGAAGGCAGCCGUAGGGCAUCUUCGGGAAUGAGGGCAAACCUGAGCGAACAACGCGGCGUGAUGGAGGAAGGAUUUCGGGUGGUGAAGGUCUGUUGUCGGUCAAGAACGGGUGUGAGAGUGUGAAGUUGCCAGAGUGACGGUAACUUGUCAAAAAGCAACGGCUAACUACGUG
rnacentral:rRNA from 1 species